GCCCUGGUGGCACAAUGGUUCAGUGCUGGUACUGCAGCUAACCAUAAGGUUGUGAGUUCAAUACCACCCAGGGCU